UACAGAGGUCUCAAGCGUUGUUCGGAUUCAUUGGGCGUAAAGGGUGCGUAGGCUGCGAGGUAAGUCUGGUGUGAAAUCCCGGGGCUCAACCCCGGAACUGCACUGGAUACUGCUUUGCUAGAGUACUGGAGAGGGAACUGGAAUUUACGGUGUAGCAGUGAAAUGCGUAGAUAUCGUAAGGAAGACCAGUGGCGAAGGCGGCUCACUGGCCCGGUACUGACGCUGAGGCACGAAAGCGUGGGGAGCAAACAGG
rnacentral:rRNA from 1 species